rnacentral:misc_RNA from 1 species
UCCUCACCUUUCCAAAACAUUUCCCUUUUUUGAGCACAAGCGGGAGUUUUACCACCUCCACACUCACCAUACUCACCACUCACGCACUUCACCACUACCUCCACCUCACCACGCUGGGGGAAGGCUGGGGGAGGCGGAGAAAAGCGUGAAAAAGAGUGACGUCUCCUCUUAUCUCUUGGACAGGAAGCGGAUAGAACAGAUCGAGGCUGGACGCUGUUACUGGCUGUCUCUGUUUUCUCUGUGUCUCUUUCUCUUUGUUUUCUGGUGUGUUUGUGAAGGUUUGGGUGUGGGUGUGGUGAGGUGCUGUGAUGGCUGCUGUCAAACCCAAAGUGCUCGUGUUGGGAGGAUGCGGGUUCAUCGGACGGUACGUGGUGUGUGAGCUGGUGGAGAAGCAGGUGUGUUCUAGCAUCUGUGUGGUGGACAAGGUGCCGCCCCAGAUCGCGUGGCUCAAUGAGAGACAGUCCAAGGUGUUUGCCGACGAGAGUAUCACCUUCCGCAGCGCCAACCUCAUCAAUGCUGCCUCGUGUGCCAGUGCCUUUGGGGAGGAGGAGUGGGACUGGGUGAUCAAUGCCGCAGGGGAGACAAAAACUGGACAGGUUGACGCAGUGUACCAUGAAGGCAUCGUGCACCUGUCGACCAACUGUGCCAAGGAGGCGGCCAAGAGGAGAGUGAAGGUGUACUUGGAGGUGUCGGCUGGCACCAUGUUCUCCGAUGACAAGGUAGUGGCCCACAAGGAGACCGACUCAUGCACACCCUGGAAAGUGGCGGGGAAGUGCAAGUAUCAGGUGGAGGAGGAGAUUAAGAACAUUCCAGACCUUAAUUGGAUCAUCAUAAGGCCCGCCACUGUGUACGGUGUCUCGGAUCGCACUGGAUUGACCACACGCCUUGUAUUUGGAGCAGUGUACCGUCACCUCAAUGAGCCCAUGAAGCUGCUCUGGGAUAAGAACCUUUAUGUCAACACUGUCCAUGUCACUGAUGUUGCCAGGGCGGUGGUGUGGCUGUGUCAGAGGGAGAAGGUCCACCAGAUAUACAACGUGGUGGAUGAGAACAACACCACACAGGGCAACAUCACAGAGAUCGUGUCCGACAUUUUCAACAUCAACUACGACUACUGGGGCAAUGUGUUCUCCAAGCUGGCCAAGACCGACACACUGGGGCUGGUGACAGAUGUGAACGACAAACACCUGGUGCCGUGGGCUGCUGUGUGUUCUGCCGGGGGUCUGGAGAACACACCCCUCACCCCGUACAUAGACCAGGACUCCGUGCAGUGCUGCCACCUACACCUGGAUGGCUCUAAGCUGCGGUCCGAGGGUUCACUUACUCCUUCCCUAAACCCACCAAAGAGUUACUGAUGGAGAUUUUGAAGGACUUUAUCAACAUGAAGGUCUUCCCAGCCAAUGCACUUCCCAGCCAGGAUUAGUGCCAGCCAGACCCAGAAGUGCCAAGCAUAGGAGAGUAAGAGGUGGUGAAUUUUGGAUGACACACCUUCAACAUUUUCAGCGCCUUCCUUUCUUCCUUCACCUGCUGACGACUUGUUAAUGAAGCACACUGCACCUGCCUGCCUGAAAUUUACCUACUGCAUGAGGGACAAGAGAGUGAGACUGCCAACACACCUCCACUAAUUCAAGACCUCCUCCACUAGUGCAGGUUUUGAAACACAACACUGACUCAACAGAAGGUUAAUUUGAACUACAAUCGAUACAAGCCAUAGAGAAUUAGUGAAUCAGUGUGUUUGAAUGGGUUAAAAGUACUUAGGAGGAAGUUACCUGUUUAUUGGCUGAUUAGUGUUAUUGAUGUUACCUGUGGGUGUGUGUAUGUGUGUGUGUACCUCAGUGAUGCUUGUGUAUGUGUGUGUAUCAGAGAUGUUUGGCGGUAUAUCUGUGUGUGCAUCAGUGAGUGUAUGUGUGUGAGUGUCUGUCAAGAAGGCGGAGUGUGGCUGCCGUGUGGAGGGUGUAGCGGCAGUGGCAGCAGCGGCGGUGGUGGCAGCGUUCCGUGUGCCGUGUGAUAUCCUGUGCCAUACAAGUAACCACAACAUUCCUCAUUGGUGAUAAAUGUGAUAAGUCUCUGUGCCUUCCAGUCUUCGCCGCCACCCCGCCGCCACCUGCCACCCGCCUCCCCCAUAGUGCAGCCCACCCCAUCACCUUGCCUGGCUGGGGUCGGCUCGGUUAGGUUAGGUCGUGAUAUAGUCUGACUUGGCUGGAUUAGAUUUGAUUAAGUUUGGUAAUUUUGUUUUGUUUAUUUACUUAUUUAUUUAUUUUUGGUACGGUUAGGUUAGAUCAAGUUAGGCUAGGCUAGGUUUGGUUUGGGUUUCAUUAUUUUAUUUUAUUUCAUCUUAUUUUAUUCAUUUUUAUAUUCAUUUGUUCAUUUAGUUUGGUACCGUGAGGUUAAAUGAAGUUAGGUUUGGUGUGACAUGGUUUUGGUUUGGUUAAGUUAGGUUUGGCUACAUGAAGUUAUAUUCUAGCUUGGUUUGGUUAGGUUAGGUUGGGUUAGCUUUGGUGUGACAUGGUUUGGUUUGGUUAAGUUAGGUUUGGCUACAUGAAGUUAUAUUCUGGUAUGGUUAGUCUAGCUUUGGUUGGGUGAGAUGAGGUUGGCAUGAUUAGAUUGAGCUUGUUUUGUGUAGUUUGUUAGUGCUGAUAUGUGGGAAGUGUCAGAUGUCAGGUUAUGUCAAUUUAUGGGAUGUUGGGUCAGAUUUGGAUAGGUCGGGAUGGACUGGGUUAGAGGAGGGUAAUUAGGUUAGGUUAGGUCAGUUUAGGACACUUAAGGUCACCUCUGGGCCAGAUAUUAGGUGUGUCAGGUGAGGUCAACUUUGCCUAACCUCACCGAUCUUAGACAAGACUGGAGGAGAUAAGGACAUGAUAAAUCCAGAACAAAAUUGUGGGAUCUGAUGAUUAAAGUAUACUGUGUGUGUGUGUGUGUGUGUGUGUGUGUGUGUGUGUGUGUGUGUGUGUGUGUGUGCACAAUAAUGAAAGUUUAUAGGAGAUUAAAACAUGUUAAAUUUGAUAUAAAGUUUAUUGAAAUUUUAACAUAUAUGAUUCAGAGAGAGAGAGAGAGAGAGACUUAUACUAUAAAAAAUAACUUUUGAUAUUUUGAAGUGGAGUAAAGAACAAAGACAGAGAUGCAUAGAGGAAUAAGGAAGAGAGAGAGAGAGAUCAUCUGUCAAUCUUACUUUACAACAAUAGCCAGAUAAUUUAUGCUAUCUCACACACACACACACACACACACACACACACACACACACACACACAUUCAUUAUAGGUAGAUAAGACUGCAGAAGUUGUAUUAUUAUUAUUAGUAUUGAUAUUGCUCUGACUUAGGACAUACACACAAUGGGUAUGUUUUGUGUAUUCUGUCCCUUGGCCCUUUGCACGAGUUUUUGUGUCAUUGUUGGUUCUCUUUGGGUGUUUUUUGGUGUGUUUUUUUAAAAGAGAGAGAGAGAGAUGGUUUGUUAGAUAAUGAGAACUAGAGAGGAAGAGGAGAUGGAGAAGAAAAGUUUUAAUGAGAGAAAAAAAUGCUAGAGGAGAAUAGUCAUUGAGAGAGAGAAAGAAUUUUUGUUCGUGUGAAGAAUAGAUCUUGAGAUAAUGAAAAUGAUUACGAGAGAAAAAAUCUUGUCAUUGUGAGGAAAGAAAAAGAGAGAGAGAGAUUGUAUUCAUUGGAGA